rnacentral:tRNA from 6 species
GCGAUUGUAGCUUAAUGGUAAAGCAGCGGGUUGUGGUCCCGCCGACGUGGGUUCGAUUCCCAUCAAUCGCC